UGCCAUGUUCCACGUCACCUCCUGUGUUCCAGCCUCCCUGGCCUUGAUCAUCACAGCAUUUGGAAACCCUGGGCUAAACGGAUGUCCUAAGAUGGCAAGCACUGAGAGACUUUUGACAUCAGACUGCCUAGAAUAUCCCAAGGAAGUUCUAUCUCAUUUAGGAAACUCCAGAACAGGCAUAAUUU